UACGUAGGGUGCAAGCGUUGUCCGGAAUUAUUGGGCGUAAAGAGCUCGUAGGCGGUUCAGCAAGUCGGGUGUGAAACCUCCAGGCUCAACCUGGAGACGCCACCCGAUACUGCUGUGACUUGAGUCCGGUAGGGGACCACGGAAUUCCUGGUGUAGCGGUGAAAUGCGCAGAUAUCAGGAGGAACACCGGUGGCGAAGGCGGUGGUCUGGGCCGGAACUGACGCUGAGACACGAAAGCGUGGGUAGCAAACAGG
rnacentral:rRNA from 1 species